UACGUAGGGGGCGAGCGUUGUCCGGAGUCACUGGGCGUAAAGCGCGCGCAGGCGGCAACCUAAGUGUCGUGUGAAAGCCCCCGGCUCAACCGGGGGAGGCCAUGGCAAACUGGGUCGCUCGAGCUGCGGAGAGGCCCCUCGAAUUGCCGGUGUAGCGGUGAAAUGCGUAGAGAUCGGCAGGAAGACCAAGGGGGAAGCCAGGGGGCUGGCCGCAGGCUGACGCUGAGGAGCGACAGCGUGGGGAGCAAACCGG
rnacentral:rRNA from 1 species